ACAAUGUUGGCAGGCUGACGCAGACAUGAUGCAGUCCUUCUCAGUGCAUUGUAUCAGGAAGGGUAGGAUGAAGAUUGGUCCCCUCACUGCAUCUGCGGAUGGAUGGUCCUUGCCCGAAGCAGUUAUUGCUGCGGCGGUUGCCAUAGGUGAUUUUCUGAUUCCAACAUUCCUUCUAUAUUCACUGGCUGGAAUCCUUCUGCCUCACUCCUGAACCCAGACCACUGGAUCCAACUGUCUGUUGAAUAUCUAUCUAGACCUCAAAAUCAACAUGAGUGAAGUCAAGACCCGCAGCCCUCCCCAGACCGGCUCCUGCUCCCCAGAUUCCAUCUUCCACAGAUCAGCACCACCAUCUUCCAACUGUCAAGGACAGGAUGAGAAAACACAAGGAAAACAAAGUUGGAGAGCUUCAUCUGGGACAUGGCUGUUCACCGAGGCUACCUCCUCUCACUAUGCAAGGCACCUCAGCAGAUGUGUUUGUAUAGUGAGCUCCUGGGUCCUCCUGAAGUUUCUCCUAGAUGCCCCUAGCCAGAAUCAUACUUCAUUUUCUCAUAGAAGCAUCUUCUCACUACCCUUUUGGAGUUACGCAUCAACAUG